GGUUAAGCGACUAAGCGUACACGGUGGAUGCCCUGGCAGUCAGAGGCGAUGAAGGACGUGCUAAUCUGCGAUAAGCGUCGGUAAGGUGAUAUGAACCGUUAUAACCGGCGAUUUCCGAAUGGGGAAACCCAGUGUGAUUCGUCACACUAUCAUUAACUGAAUCCAUAGGUUAAUGAGGCGAACCGGGGGAACUGAAACAUCUAAGUACCCCGAGGAAAAGAAAUCAACCGAGAUUCCCCCAGUAGCGGCGAGCGAACGGGGAGCAGCCCAGAGCCUGAAUCAGUGUGUGUGUUAGUGGAAGCGUCUGGAAAGGCGUGCGAUACAGGGUGACAGCCCCGUACACAAAAAUGCACAUAUUGUGAGCUCGAUGAGUAGGGCGGGACACGUGGUAUCCUGUCUGAAUAUGGGGGGACCAUCCUCCAAGGCUAAAUACUCCUGACUGACCGAUAGUGAACCAGUACCGUGAGGGAAAGGCGAAAAGAACCCCGGCGAGGGGAGUGAAAAAGAACCUGAAACCGUGUACGUACAAGCAGUGGGAGCACGCUUAGGCGUGUGACUGCGUACCUUUUGUAUAAUGGGUCAGCGACUUAUAUUCUGUAGCAAGGUUAACCGAAUAGGGGAGCCGAAGGGAAACCGAGUCUUAACUGGGCGUUAAGUUGCAGGGUAUAGACCCGAAACCCGGUGAUCUAGCCAUGGGCAGGUUGAAGGUUGGGUAACACUAACUGGAGGACCGAACCGACUAAUGUUGAAAAAUUAGCGGAUGACUUGUGGCUGGGGGUGAAAGGCCAAUCAAACCGGGAGAUAGCUGGUUCUCCCCGAAAGCUAUUUAGGUAGCGCCUCGUGAAUUCAUCUCCGGGGGUAGAGCACUGUUUCGGCAAGGGGGUCAUCCCGACUUACCAACCCGAUGCAAACUGCGAAUACCGGAGAAUGUUAUCACGGGAGACACACGGCGGGUGCUAACGUCCGUCGUGAAGAGGGAAACAACCCAGACCGCCAGCUAAGGUCCCAAAGUCAUGGUUAAGUGGGAAACGAUGUGGGAAGGCCCAGACAGCCAGGAUGUUGGCUUAGAAGCAGCCAUCAUUUAAAGAAAGCGUAAUAGCUCACUGGUCGAGUCGGCCUGCGCGGAAGAUGUAACGGGGCUAAACCAUGCACCGAAGCUGCGGCAGCGACACUAUGUGUUGUUGGGUAGGGGAGCGUUCUGUAAGCCUGUGAAGGUGUACUGUGAGGUAUGCUGGAGGUAUCAGAAGUGCGAAUGCUGACAUAAGUAACGAUAAAGCGGGUGAAAAGCCCGCUCGCCGGAAGACCAAGGGUUCCUGUCCAACGUUAAUCGGGGCAGGGUGAGUCGACUCCUAAGGCGAGGCCGAAAGGCGUAGUCGAUGGGAAACAGGUUAAUAUUCCUGUACUUGGUGUUACUGCGAAGGGGGGACGGAGAAGGCUAUGUUGGCCGGGCGACGGUUGUCCCGGUUUAAGCGUGUAGGCUGGUUUUCCAGGCAAAUCCGGAAAACUAAGGCUGAGGCGUGAUGACGAGGCACUACGGUGCUGAAGCAACAAAUGCCCUGCUUCCAGGAAAAGCCUCUAAGCAUCAGGUAACAUCAAAUCGUACCCCAAACCGACACAGGUGGUCAGGUAGAGAAUACCAAGGCGCUUGAGAGAACUCGGGUGAAGGAACUAGGCAAAAUGGUGCCGUAACUUCGGGAGAAGGCACGCUGAUAUGUAGGUGAAGUCCCUCGCGGAUGGAGCUGAAAUCAGUCGAAGAUACCAGCUGGCUGCAACUGUUUAUUAAAAACACAGCACUGUGCAAACACGAAAGUGGACGUAUACGGUGUGACGCCUGCCCGGUGCCGGAAGGUUAAUUGAUGGGGUCAGCGCAAGCGAAGCUCUUGAUCGAAGCCCCGGUAAACGGCGGCCGUAACUAUAACGGUCCUAAGGUAGCGAAAUUCCUUGUCGGGUAAGUUCCGACCUG
rnacentral:rRNA from 1 species